GUUAUUUUACAUGGAUAACUGUGGUAAUUCUAGAGCUAAUACAUGCAGCAGCCUUGACCCUUACGGGCAAGGCGCAGUUAUUAGAUCAAAAACCAAUCGGUUGUGUCUUCGGAUACAGCCGUUUUCUUGGUGACUCUGAGUAACCACAGCGAACCGUAUGGCCUCGUGCUCGACGGUCUGUCAGUCAAGCAACUGCCUUAUCAGCUUGUUGUUAGGUUAUAUGCCUAACAAGGCUUCAACGGGUAACGAACGAUCGGGGUCGGAUAUCGGAGAGGGAGCUUGAGAAACGGCUACCACUUCCAAGGAAGGCAGCAGGCGCGCAAAUUACCCACUCUCGGCAUGAGGAGGUAGCGAUAAAAUGUAUCGAUGCGGGGCCAUUAGUGCCUUCGUAAUCGGAAUGAGUACACUUUAAAUCCUAUAACAAGGACCUAUUGGAGGGCAAGUCUGGUGCCAGCAGCCGCGGUAAUUCCAGCUCCAAUAGCGUAUAUUAAUGCUGCUGCGGUUAAAAAGCUCGUAGUCGGAUCUGGGUUACCGGCGGGUACCACAUGUUGCUUCAUGCAGCAUGUUGUGUACUAUACGUGUCGCUUCGGCGGCACUGCCAGUGUAGCGCCUCAUGUAGGUUGUUACGCUGGUCGCCGGAACCACGGGCCGGGUUGAGCAGCAUGCUCUUUACUGAGUGUGUUGUUUACUCGGUGCGUUUACUUUGAAAAAAUUGGAGUGCUCAAAGCAAGCGUACAGUCGCUAUGCGGCUUGAACAGUGGUGCAUGGAAUAAUGGAAUAGGGCCUCGGUUCUAUUUUGUUGGUUUUCAGAUAUCGAGGUAAUGAUUAAGAGGGACAGUCGGGGACAUUUGUAUUGCGACGUUAGAGGUGAAAUUCUUGGAUCGUCGCAAGACACACUAAUGCGAAAGCAUUUGUCUAGCAUGUUUUCAUUGAUCAAGAACGAAAGUUAGAGGUUCGAAGGCGAUCAGAUACCGGCCUAGUUCUAACCAUAAACGAUGCCAACCAGCGAUCCGUCGGUGUUCUCAAUUAUGAAUGACCUGACGGGCAGCUUCCGGGAAACCAAAGUUUUCGGGUUCCGGGGGAAGUAUGGUUGCAAAGCUGAAACUAAAGGAAUG
rnacentral:rRNA from 1 species